CUUUCAGAUGCAGACAUUUAAGAUCUGUGGCAGAGCGCCCCUCCUGGGUCAGGGGGUUUUCCCUGAGAAGGAAGUCCAGGCAGAUAGCUGCAGUCAAGGCCAAGUGUGCCAGGCAGUCCUCUUGCGAGAUGUCUCUGAUCCCAGAUGUCUGAGGCCAGGUGUCAUUGCUGCCCUAGGCGUGUGAAGGAACAGAGUCAAGCGGGUAUCCUCCUGGCAGCCUGUUGAGUCGCAUCAAGAUUUCAGGUACCGUGAGGAGGCGCAUAGCUGAAGUUUGGAAACGGCAGCACCGAAGCGGACGUAGAGAACAUGUCGCCGUCCACGUCCGGCUGACGAUGGAUUUUGUCCGGUCGUCUUGCAAAAGCUAAG